GGUACUGAGGGAGGCUGUCCGUGGUGAGUUCGCCUUAGGCGUUGAUGCCCAAUACACGAUCGACCUCUUUGGUAUC
rnacentral:pre_miRNA from 1 species